CAAAAACAGCUGUGGGGAAAAGGCAGAAGGGGGUCUAUCUUUGUUGAAUUUUGGUAUUGAUUUUAUGUGUCAGUACCUGAGAAGUAGAGAAGUCCUUGAGUUGUUGUGUAAAUGUGGCUCAAGUGAGAUGCUGAACAGUGCCAGCCAUGUGGACUCUGCCACGGUGAAGGAGGAAGGAAAAAAAUAUAAUAUUGGAUCAGCUGUGUGUCAGGCAUCUGAGGUUCUAACCAUAGCUCCAUUACUACCAGUCUGUGUGACUUGGGGAAUGCUGCUUACCUUCUUUGAGACUCAUUUUCUUCAUUACAAGAUAAAGAGCUUGCUAGGCAGCACUGAGGAGUAAAGGAAUAUUUGGGAGGAUCAGAAGCUUGGUCCUGAUUUUGCCAUCAACCAGGACCUUGAUGACUUCAAGGGAGUCCCCAAACCCUGGGUUUCUGUUUUCUCAACUCUAACAUGAGGGGCUAGACGCAUCUGGUUUAGUUCGUCUCCAUGAUCCUGUGAAUUUCAGAUGUUGAAAAUCUUCAGAAAAGCCCUGAAAGAUGAAGAGUGGUCUCAAAUAGUCAAGACCCCCUGCUGGGGGGAGCGUCUAUCCUGCUCUGUGG
rnacentral:antisense_RNA from 1 species